rnacentral:rRNA from 2 species
CCACGGUGCUGAAGCAACAAAUGCCCUGCUUCCAGGAAAAGCCUCUAAGCAUCAGGUAACAUCAAAUCGUACCCCAAACCGACACAGGUGGUCAGGUAGAGAAUACCAAGGCGCUUGAGAGAACUCGGGUGAAGGAACUAGGCAAAAUGGUGCCGUAACUUCGGGAGAAGGCACGCUGACACGUAGGUGAAGUGAUUUACUCAUGGAGCUGAAGUCAGUCGAAGAUACCAGCUGGCUGCAACUGUUUAUUAAAAACACAGCACUGUGCAAACACGAAAGUGGACGUAUACGGUGUGACGCCUGCCCGGUGCCGGAAGGUUAAUUGAUGGGGUCAGCGCAAGCGAAGCUCCUGAUCGAAGCCCCGGUAAACGGCGGCCGUAACUAUAACGGUCCUAAGGUAGCGAAAUUCCUUGUCGGGUAAGUUCCGACCUGCACGAAUGGCGUAAUGAUGGCCAGGCUGUCUCCACCCGAGACUCAGUGAAAUUGAACUCGCUGUGAAGAUGCAGUGUACCCGCGGCAAGACGGAAAGACCCCGUGAACCUUUACUAUAGCUUGACACUGAACAUUGAGCCUUGAUGUGUAGGAUAGGUGGGAGGCUUUGAAGCGUGGACGCCAGUCUGCGUGGAGCCGACCUUGAAAUACCACCCUUUAAUGUUUGAUGUUCUAACGUGGACCCGUAAUCCGGGUUGCGGACAGUGUCUGGUGGGUAGUUUGACUGGGGCGGUCUCCUCCUAAAGAGUAACGGAGGAGCACGAAGGUUGGCUAAUCCUGGUCGGACAUCAGGAGGUUAGUGCAAUGGCAUAAGCCAGCUUGACUGCGAGCGUGACGGCGCGAGCAGGUGCGAAAGCAGGUCAUAGUGAUCCGGUGGUUCUGAAUGGAAGGGCCAUCGCUCAACGGAUAAAAGGUACUCCGGGGAUAACAGGCUGAUACCGCCCAAGAGUUCAUAUCGACGGCGGUGUUUGGCACCUCGAUGUCGGCUCAUCACAUCCUGGGGCUGAAGUAGGUCCCAAGGGUAUGGCUGUUCGCCAUUUAAAGUGGUACGCGAGCUGGGUUUAGAACGUCGUGAGACAGUUCGGUCCCUAUCUGCCGUGGGCGCUGGAAGACUGAGGGGGGCUGCUCCUAGUACGAGAGGACCGGAGUGGACGCAUCACUGGUGUUCGGGUUGUCAUGCCAAUGGCACUGCCCGGUAGCUAAAUGCGGAAAAGAUAAGUGCUGAAAGCAUCUAAGCACGAAACUUGCCCCGAGAUGAGUCUUCCCUGAGACUUUGAGUCUCCUGAAGGAACGUUAAAGACGAUGACGUUGAUAGGCCGGGUGUGUAAGCGCAGCGAUGCGUUGAGCUAACCGGUACUAAUGAACCGUGAGG